rnacentral:lncRNA from 10 species
AUUUUAGCCAUAGUAAGCUAUGGUAAAUAGAAAAGUUCUGAAGUAGUUUGAUGUUGGAGGAUUGCAAGUGCUUCAACUGGAACAUCUGUCCAGUUAGGCUACUAAUCCAGUCCUUUUUCAUUCCAGUGUUCUAUUAAUCAGCAUUGGCUCACUGAAAUAGCAGUUUUCACAAAUGAAAAGUCAACUGUAGUUUUAGGUGACAGGAAAUUGGAUAUUUCUAUUGACAACAUACUUUGUUAUUCCAAAAGCAAGUUUUGGAAGAUGAGGAAUACUUACGACAUAUUCACUAAUUAAAUAUAUAAAUCCUGAAUAGUUUUUUUCUUGCUUUAGAAAGGAAUUAAAAACUUUGAAUUUUCAGAUUGCUUUAAAUAGUGAUUUAAAUAAUGACUUGAUUUAAUCAGUGCCUUAUAUCAAAAAUUGUAUGUUUAGAAUUUUGAUUUAUUUCUCCAGAGCAAUUUUAAGGAUUCUCUUAACCCUCAGUAUACGAGGAAAAGUGUACAAUUAUCACUAUCAUCUGGGUCAAAAGGGACUGGUUUUUUUUGCAUUUUACGUUAUUAUGUAUAAUUUAUAGGAGUAAAAAUAAAGCAUAAUGUAAAACAACUUAUUGGAGCUUUUAAUAAGAAUUUCAAUACAGCAGAUAUCUUUGUAUGUACUUAGAAAAAUAAAAAAUAAAAAAUCUA